rnacentral:piRNA from 1 species
UAAUGUUCAGGGCUCCCAGGGUGUAGA